rnacentral:rRNA from 1 species
AGGACGAACGCUGGCGGCGCGCUUAACACAUGCAAGUCGAACGUGAAGCCGGAGCUUGCUCCGGUGGAAAGUGGCGAACGGGUGCGUAACACGUGAGCAACCUGCCCCGAAGACUGGGAUAACACCGGGAAACCGGUGCUAAUACCGGAUACCUUCCUCCGAUCGCAUGGUUGGUUGAAGAAAUGGAUUCCGCUUCGGGAUGGGCUCGCGGCCUAUCAGCUUGUUGGUGAGGUAACGGCCCACCAAGGCGACGACGGGUAGCUGGUCUGAGAGGACGACCAGCCACACUGGGACUGAGACACGGCCCAGACUCCUACGGGAGGCAGCAGUGGGGAAUCUUGCUCAAUGGGCGAAAGCCUGAAGCAGCGACGCCGCGUGCGGGAUGAAGGCCCUCGGGUUGUAAACCGCUUUCAGUACCGACGAAGCGCCAAUAACGGUGGUGACGGUAGGUACAGAAGAAGGACCGGCAACUACGUGCCAGCAGCCGC